ACCCUGUGCUGUGCCGCGCAGUUAGGCAGCAGCAGCCGCGGAGCAGUAGCCGCCGUGGGAGGGAGCCAUGAAGCAUUACGAGGUAAGAAGCGAGAAACAGGGACCGUGUGGCCACUGCUGACCCAUUCUUUUUCCUUCUUUGCGGGACCACGGGACCCCACUUUCUGGUCCUGUGCCCCGAAGGAAGAGCCGGACGGCGCAGGCGCAGUGGGCAAGCGUUGCGCCCCGGGCCACUCGUAAAUUCCAAUGCGCAUGUGCGCAGGAAGUAUUUAUAAAUCUGCAACCCAGGCUGUUUUGGGGGUACUUUUUCUUGGGGGUCUCUGCAGGGGCUGGGACGCUUGCAGGUUCCUAGCAGCUCCCCCAGCGGGCUGAGUUGCAGACUUUGUCAUGGGAGCCACGAAGGUGCGGGACCCUUGCUCCCAAUCCGAGGGAGUCUUGCACAAACCUUGCGCCACGCCGCCGUCACCAGCGUAGGAAGGGGCUCUGCAAUCAGUAUUCUUGUGUACGACCUUUGGACCCCUUCCCUCGCCCGGGACGUUCCCGGGAGACUUAGGCGGUGAGGGAGGUGCAGCUCCACAGCUGGCUUUCGCAGAGCAGCGAAGCUGAUCUUGCUUUCUGGUUAUCAAAGAGGUCAUCUCCGUCAACCCUUGGGUGUCACCAAGGAGAAAUCUUAUACCCACCCACAGCCACUCUUGAAGCCCAAGUCUUCUGACUCCUAACUUGGGUCUCUUUUUCCCUUAAAACGAAGUCUUCUGAUGUGCUUAUCGCCCUAGGUGAUAAUAUAAUAUUAAUAAUUCAACCAAUUAUCCCUGAAUUAUUGCUGACUUUUAAGUAACUAUCAUCAAAUAAUAAAAUUUGUUAUUAAAAUUCAAAAUAAGAACAAUUUAGCAAGUGCUUACUCUUGUGCUGGUGAGAUUCUGUUACCUUGUAUAAGAACUAUUAUUAUUCCUGUUUGUAAGGAUGAAUAAAGUCUCAGAGAUAUCAAGUGACUUGUUCAAAGGCCCCUAGUUAGUAAAUGCAAAACAGAUAGGGGAACUCAGGACGCCAAGGUCUUAGUUCCUAGCCACUAUGCCAUGCUGGUCCUCAAAUGAAAAAUAGCAGGUCGAGCGAUUUCUUGUUUCUCACUUCCCCUCCAAUUUAAAAAAUUCUGGCAAAAUACACAUAAAAUUUACCAUCUUGACUAUUUUCAAGUGUGCAGUUCAGUGGCAUUAAGAACAUUCACAUUGUUGUGCAACCAUCACCACCACCCAUCUCCAGAACUCUUUGCAUCUUGGAAAACAGAAGCUGUAGCCGUUAAAUACUAACUCCCCAUUCCUCUCCACCUCCACCUCUGGCAGCCACCAUUCUACUCAGCCGCCAUUCCGUCUUAAUGAAUUGACUACUCUAGGUACCUUGGAUACGUAGAAGGAUUUUUUUUUUUUUCUUUUGGAGACAGAGUUUCGGUCUUAUUGCCCGGGCUGGAGUGCAAUGGCACGAUCUCGGCCUACUGCAAACUCCGCCUCCUGGGUUUAAGCGAUUCUCCUGCCUCAGCCUCCUGAAUAGCUGGGAUUACAGGUGCCCGCCACCAUGCCCGGCUAAUUUUUUGUAUUUUUAGUAGAGACGGGGGUUUCACCAUGUUGACCAGGCUGGCCUCAAACUCUUGACCUCAAGUGAUUUGCCCGCCUCGGCCUCCCAAAGUACUGGGAUUACAGGUGUGAGCUAGCGCGCCUGGCUGUUUGUUUUUAUUCACAAGUUGAAUAUUACUACCUCUGCCUCCUGCCCCCUUUAUUGCUACUAUUUUUGGAAAUUUACCCACAAUCCUUUGAAGCCUUUUUUUGAGACGGAGUUUCGCUCUUGUUGCGUACGCUGGAGUGCAAUGGCGCGAUCUCGGCUCACCGCAACCUCCACCUCCCGGGUUCAAGUGAUUCUCCUGCCCCAGCCUCCCGAGUAGCCGGAAUUACAGGCAUGAGCCACCAUGCCCGGCUAAUUUUGUAUUUUUAGUAGAGAUGGGGUUUCUCCAUGUUGGUCAGGCUGGUCUCGAACUCCCGACCUCAGGUGAUCCACCCACCUUGGCCUCCCAGAGUGCUGGGAUUACAGGCAUGAGCCACGGUGCCUAGCCCCUUAGAAGCCUUUAACCCAAAAAUCCUGUAAUUUUUGACAUGGUAUCAAGAAUGAGGAGGUUUGUAUUCAAUAAUCUCUGUCAUUUAAGUUUUCAUUCUAGAAUGAAGUUCUGAUGUGGAUUCCCCUCUCAAACUCUAUAUCUAAACCUGUAGUCCCACUACUGUAGUCUCAGCUACUCGGGAGGCUGAAGCAGGAGGAUGGCUUGAGCCCAGGAGGUUGAGGCUGCAGUGAGCCCAAAAAUCAGGCCACUGCACUCCAGCCUGGGCAACAGAGACCCUGUUUGAAGGAAAAAAAAAAAAAAAAAGCUACCACGUCCAGCUUGAAACAUGCAGUUUGGAGCAUCCAUAUGGCAUUUUGCAAAUGUAGUUGGUUUAGUUUUGCUAGUUAACAGUCAGAUAAAGUAGGCCUCUGAGCACCCUGGGGGUGCGUGCUUUUGUUCCAGGAAGCUGGGCACAGCCUGAGGCCCAAGACUUGGACUGGAGAAUAUGCUCCACCGUACUUAAUCCUUUUCUCUCCCAGAAAGAAGGGGGAGCUUUGGCCAGGCAUGGUGGCUCACGCCUGUAAUCCCAGCACUUUGGUAGGCUGAGGUGGCCGGAUCGCUUGAGGUGAGGAGUUCGAGACCAGCCUGGCUAACAUGGAGAAACCUCGUCUCUACUAAAAAUACAAAAGUGAGCUGAGUGUUGUGGCACACGCCUGUAAUCUCAGCUACUUGGAGGCAGAGGUUGCAGCGAGCUGAGAUCAUGCCACUGUACUCCAGCCUGGAUGACAGAGCGAGAGUCUGUCUCAAAAAAAAAAAAAAA
rnacentral:sRNA from 1 species